rnacentral:rRNA from 1 species
UACGUAGGGGUGCAAGCGUUUAAUCGGAAUUACUGGGCGUAAAGCGUGCGCAGGCGGUUUUGUAAGUCUGUUGUGAAAUCCCCGGGCUUAACCUGGGAAUGGCAAUGGAGACUGCAAGGCUAGAGUUUGGCAGAGGGGGGGUAGAAUUCCACGUGUAGCAGUGAAAUGCGUAGAGAUGUGGAGGAACACCGAUGGCGAAGGCAGCCCCCCUGGGUCAAGACUGACGCUCAUGCACGAAAGCGUGGGGAGCAAACAGG